UACGGAGGGUGCAAGCGUUAUCCGGAUUUACUGGGUUUAAAGGGUGCGUAGGUGGGUUGGGAAGUCAGUGGUGAAAUACUUUCGCUUAACGAAGGAACUGCCAUUGAUACUAUCAAGCUUGAAUGUAGUGGAGGUAGGCGGAAUGCGUCAUGUAGCGGUGAAAUGCUUAGAUAUGACGCAGAACACCAAUUGCGAAGGCAGCUUGCUACACUACUAUUGACACUGAGGCACGAAAGCGUGGGGAUCAAACAGG
rnacentral:rRNA from 1 species